UUCUCAGUAUUUUCAAAUGAUUUUUCCCCCUAAGCAAUCUAUUUCCUUCCUAAUUUAGGAUUCAUCUUAUCACAUCAUAGAGAUAAACGAAGAAUGGAAAAGGUCACAAGUUCUACUUUAUUUAGGGAAAAAAAUACCCUUUGUAAAAUGCCUUUGGACUUAUUUUUAUGACUGCUUUUGUUUUUCUUAGAGAACAAAAGUUUGACUCCUGCUUGUCCCAUGGAGCCCUCAAUACCAGUGACUGGAUCAGGGACAGGCUGCCUGAGGAAAUCAAACCUGUGAGCACCACGUGGAAGCUGUGUGAGCCCACAGAUAAGUUGCUGGUUUAGGUUUCCAAGGGUUGGAGGCUAGUGCUUAAUUUUAAAAUGACAGGUCCUGUGGUAAUGUUGUCCUAAGACAACAACAAAGAAAUGGCACUGUCUAAUGCCAGUGACUGUCCCUCCCAGAAACCAGAGGGCCACCAGACCUGGCCAUGUAAAUAAUGGCACUGAUGUCUGUGUGGAAAAACUACCUCUGCUUCUUGAGACAGGAGUUAGCACCAGCCUGACCAAUGCUCCAGGCUGCUGCCUAUUUGUCUAUGUUUUAUUGCCAACUAAUACCAAACUGCAGGCUUAGUCAGGUCUACCAAUACUCCAAGUUGGAUUUCCUCUUACUGUGCCUAGCGUGGGACUUGUAGCACUGAAAAAUCACUGGAAAGUCAGUCUGGGCAUAGCACAACAUUUUGUUGCUGCCCAGCAGCCUCUUGUCUGCAACAGCCUUUUACCACAAGCUCUGAAAAGGUGGGACAGAGCCGCUGCUGCUCCCUGGAGAGAGUCCCCACAGGAUAUGAUAGGAAGCAGGAGGUUGGAGGUGGGGACAUCUCUCUGCUGCAGCUGCAAUGCAAGAAAGGCUGACCCAAGUCACACCAAAAGUCCAGUUUAUGCUACUUGCCAGCAUUUCUCCUUUUGGACAGAAGCAGAAAAUAACAGUGUUCCACGAGUGAAUGCGCAAGUGGACUUCACAGAAUCACUGGGCUGUUUGCAGUGGGUAUCUAGAAAUUCAACCUUGUGGUACUUUGAUGUGCAUUAAAGGCAAAGAAGUUUGUCAAAGAAGGCUGGCUGGAGAAAAAAUGGACUUGGUGAAACAUGGUCCAGAAACUGUAAGUACUGAUGUUUCCAUUAGCUUUUUGUUUUUGUAUCAUUUCUGAGCAUUAUCUAUAACAUAUAUUUAUAAAAUAAAUAAAUACAGCCAGCCUCCAGACUGGAUGAUAGCUGCAACAAGCUUAUUACCACAAAUUGCUAUUUUGCAGUAUUCUAACAAUUAGUACUGUGGAGCCCUAUGGCACCAGGUAUUGCACAAACUUGAAGAGAAAGUGAGUCCUUGUCCCAAGCAGCAAAAUUCUUCUGUCCCCAUAGCUUAGGACACUGCUACCACUCACAUUCAGUAUUUAUGUCCAUACAAUGCACUGUGAUACAGUAACAGUGAUCCCAAAGCACAAACUGCUCUGCCAUUAAUGCUGAGCAGUGGCACUGCCCAUGAGGAAUUUGGCCAACUUUAAGGUUGUUUCCUGAGUAAUGUGUGUAUGUUGUAAGGGCUUUGCUGAAUUAGGACCUCACUUUAUAGAAAACCCAUCUGCUAACAAACACGUUAUGCUUGAUCAAGCUUAGCGUUAAGAUUAAGUGCCUUGUCUCCUCUUUUCACAGCUAAACUCCACCUGUAGUGAGAGUAAUUUAUCUUGAAUUGCUUUAAUGCAGUGUUUAAGUAUGUCUUCUUGGCCACAAAGCAGUUUGCAUGUAUUUCAGUGAGAGGCUUAAAAUCCCAUUCACAUUUUUCAUGUACAGUUUUCUCAGAUAAAUUAAUCACAGCUUGGUUGGCAGGUCUUGCAUGAGUAAUAAGGUUGUUGGCACAAACACACACCACAGGUCUGUUAGGUAAAGGAGAAGCUUUUGUUUGCUUCUAUAUUUACCCAAGAGGUUUAACUUGUACAAAACAGUUUAAGAUAGUGGUGCUUUACUAGCAGGACACAACAGGCUGUGAGAUAACAUGUCCUCCCCAAAAAGCAUCAACAGAGUACAGAUAAAUCCCCACACACUGGUUUGAAAAUUAAACUCUUGCUAUGCAAAAUAUUUUCACAAAAUGCAGUUUCCAUUGCUUAUAUACACAGGCAGACAACAGCCAGAAGCUUGCUGUUAUAUGAAAGAGCCAUGCUCUUGAAAGAGAAUUGAGCUGAAUGCACUUUUUACAUGAGAAAGGAAUGUGCUCUUUUGAGUAAAUAAUGACAAAGUGACAUUUUAGUUUGCUUUUUCUCUUUCAUUCAUAAUUUUGGGAAGUGAUUGCUCAGGGUUUAUAACAUGUAACUCAGAAUUCUGCAAAGUAAGUUUUUUGCUGAAUUCGUCUGAGCAAUAUCUGCACUCAAACAUUCUGCAGUGCAAUUUUGCUCCAUUGCUGUUGUAAGAGCAUGAGCUGGAGAGCUUUGUCUCAAUAUCUGUGUAGUGCUCUUGCAAUGUAGGCCUGACCUGAGGUACUCUGCACAUGGUGGGAAUCUUCCACUGCCUCGAUUUAGGGCUUUCAAUCAAGUCUUCUGUAAACAACAAAAUGCAGAAAAGACAAUGUAUUGCAAGGAAUUAACAUUGGAAUGCACAUAUAAUAUCUGUAUGUGUCACUAAUUUUGUGUUAGAUCAGCAAAACAAAUCCCUUUGUACCACUGCAAGGCUGCAUUUGCCAAAAUGAUGUUGUGGAGUUCUACAGUCACCACAAGGAGUGGUUUGGGUUGCUCCUCCAUCACACACUCUGUUGAAAGCAAUGUAUUAAUUAUUGCUCUUCUCAGCUGGAACAUAACUUUAUGUCUGACACAAACCAUGCACAAGAAAAUGAUAUGAAAAUGUGAGAGGCAGAAUUGGAAUCUUAAGUGCAAAUGGAUUGAAAUGUACGUGUGCAAUUUGUGCCUAAAUUUGACAUGAACUUUUGAAAAAGAAUUAUCAGGCAACCAAGCCAACUCUGCAGCCAAGGAGGCCUUUAAUGCCCAGAGGAACAUAUGCCCUGCUGGAGAGGCUGGCAGCAGCUCACAAAUGCAGCAUACAGUGGUGGGAUGUCUCUGCUUGCACCACAAUCAGUCUGUCAACUACAGAGAUGUUCAGGAAGAGCUGGAGGAACAGGAAUGCAACAAGGAAUGGCAUUACUGAUGCUGUGUGUACUAUUUUGGGGCUUUAUGAAAUCAUCAGUCUAGGAAUUGUUCAAUCUAAGUUCAAUUCACAUUUCGAGCUUUGUCAUCUUUUAGAUUUUUGUUAAUAAAAUGUAAAUCUCAGCAAUUUAUAA